rnacentral:rRNA from 1 species
UACGUAGGGUGCAAGCGUUAAUCGGAAUUACUGGGCGUAAAGCGUGCGCAGGCGGUUCGGGAAGUAAGGUGUGAAAUCCCAGGGCUUAACCUUGGAACUGCACUUUUAACUACCGGGCUAGAGUACGUCAGAGGGGGGUAGAAUUCCACGUGUAGCAGUGAAAUGCGUAGAGAUGUGGAGGAACACCGAUGGCGAAGGCAGCCCCCUGGGUUAACACUGACGCUCAGGCACGAAAGCGUGGAGAGCAAACAGG